rnacentral:rRNA from 1 species
AGAGGGUGCGAGCGUUGUUCGGAAUUACUGGGCGUAAAGCGCGCGCAGGCGGCCCUUUAAGUCUGCCGGUCAAACGCCGGGGCUCAACCCCGUGCUCGCCGGAGAUACUGGGGGGCUGGAGACAGGUAGAGGCGAGUGGAAUUCCGGGUGUAGCGGUGGAAUGCGUAGAGAUCCGGAAGAACACCGGAGGCGAAGGCGGCUCGCUGGGCCUGGUCUGACGCUGAGGCGCGAAAGCGUGGGGAGCGAACAGGAUUAGAUACCCUGGUAGUCCACGCCGUAAACGAUGGGCACUGGGCGCGGGGGGGAUCGACCCCUUCCGUGCCGUAGCCAACGCGAUAAGUGCCCCGCCUGGGGAGUACGGCCGCAAGGCUG